GGAGAAUGCUGCUAACUCCUUCAUCAGAGUCUAGUCUGGAAGAUGAUGGAGACGUGUUAUCAAAUAUUGAUUCUCGAGAAGAGAGUCACUCAGAGAGAACUGUUUUACAAGCUGAUUAGCAAUUCUCCUGAAUACUUCCCAUCUCAGUUGGAAGUUAACAGGACUAUUCAAGGCCAUAUUUGGUGUCAUUGCUCCAAUGUACCCGUUACAGUCUUGGAAUCAUGGCAUCUUCCAGAGGGGCAGUUUCUGGGCGUCUAUCUCUUCAGGCAUUCAUUCCAUUACUACGAACUUAGAUACUCAUAAUUGUUCAACUGAAUGUUUUACUAUCUUUCUGCAACUAGGAGCCAAAUCAAGAGGUUGUGGAAUGUGCUGCAUGUGGAUCAUCAGGUUAUGCUAUUACAGGAGACUUGGCUUUGUUAGAGAAAUUGGUUGCAAAAACCGAUGCUCGCUACAUCAUUGUGGUGGAGAAGUAAUCCCCCACAGUUCAAUGGAUUCC